GGGGAUGUAAAGGUUUCGACGGGGACUGUGAACCACAGUAAGCGAGUAGCGGCGCGGACCCGCUAUAAAAGCCGCAAACUUUCAAUUAAACGACAACAAAACUGUUGCGUACGCAGCCUAAUUAGGCUGCCGUCCCUUCCGGAAGGACCGCGGUCCGGAAGGGGCGUCGAUGAGCGGUGCACGUGAACAGCCGUCUGUCUCGCCGGCUGUCAUGAUUCAGAGACUACCGUAACGGAAAGCCUGUUUGUGGGCGUUCCGCGAGGGGAAUCCUAAAGCACAAACUGCACUCGGAGAAAGCUGUGGCAAGUGGUUUUCGGACAGGGGUUCGAUUCCCCUCAUCUCCACCA
rnacentral:tmRNA from 1 species